CUAGAGGGUUUAUGCUGUGCUAUCUUUCCCUCAGCUCCUCUCAAAUGCAUUAGCAGUGAACUUUACACAUUGCCUUCAGCGUGAUAAUCGUCUACGUUGUCGCAUUAUGUAUUCAUACGUUCUCGCUUACAAUCGUCUCUCUGAGACAUUUUUUCUAACUUCUGAUCUCAAAUCAGGUAGGACUACCCGCUGAACUUAAGCAUAUCAAUAAGCGGAGGAAAAGAAACUAACAAGGAUUCCCCUAGUAACUGCGAGUGAACCGGGAAAAGCUCAAAUUUAAAAUCUGGCAGCAUUUCGCUGUCCGAGUUGUAGUCUAGAGAAGCGUCUUCCGCGC
rnacentral:rRNA from 1 species